UACAGAGGUCCCAAGCGUUGUCCGGAAUCAUUGGGCGUAAAGAGCGUGUAGGCGGCUUGGUAAGUCCGCUGUGAAAGUCCAGGGCUCAACCCUGGAAAGCCGGUGGAAACUGUCAAGCUUGAGUCCGGAAGAGGCGAGUGGAAUUCCUGGUGUAGCGGUGAAAUGCGCAGAUAUCGGGAGGAACACCGGUGGCGAAGGCGGUUCUCUGGGCCUUACCUGACGCUGAGGAGCGAAAGCGUGGGGAGCGAACAGG
rnacentral:rRNA from 1 species